UACAGAGGGGGCAAGCGUUGUUCGGAAUUACUGGGCGUAAGGGCGCGUAGGCGGCCUUCUAAGUCGAACGUGAAAUCCCCGGGCUCAACCCGGGAACUGCGUCCGAGACUGGAAGGCUCGAAUCCGGGAGAGGGAUGUGGAAUUCCAGGUGUAGCGGUGAAAUGCGUAGAUAUCUGGAGGAACAUCGGUGGCGAAGGCGGCAUCCUGGACCGUAUUGACGCUGAGGCGCGAAGCAGGGAGCAACGGA
rnacentral:rRNA from 1 species